rnacentral:rRNA from 1 species
AGUGAACGCUGGCGGUAGGCCUAACACAUGCAAGUCGAACGGCAGCACAGUAAGAGCUUGCUCUUACGGGUGGCGAGUGGCGGACGGGUGAGGAAUACAUCGGAAUCUACUUUUUCGUGGGGGAUAACGUAGGGAAACUUACGCUAAUACCGCAUACGACCUACGGGUGAAAGCAGGGGAUCUUCGGACCUUGCGCGAUUGAAUGAGCCGGUGUCGGAUUAGCUAGUUGGCGGGGUAAAGGCCCACCAAGGCGACGAUCCGUAGCUGGUCUGAGAGGAUGGUGAGCCACACAGGAAGUGAGACACGGUCCAGAGUCCGACGGAAGGCAGCAGGGGGGAAGAUUGGAAAAUGGGCGCAAGCCUGAUCCAGCCAUACAGCGGGGGUGAAGAAGGCCUGCGGGUGGUAAAGCCCUUUUGUUGGGAAAGAAAAGCAGCAGGUUAAUACCCCGCUGUUCGGAGGGUACCCAAAGAAUAAGCACCGGCUAACUGCGU